GAACAUUAUGGGAUAUUGAAUAUAAGGCAUUCGUGUAGAGUAAGAAAAGGAGAGGUUAUAAAGCAAUUUAACUAAAUUGGAUUCUCUUUUCUCUGCUAAGGCAUUACUACUCCUCCCUGCACUCUCCUUUCCAAUUCGGCACCCUCACUCUCUCUUUUCUCCUCAAGGUUCCUUCUCUGUCCAGCCAUAUUGCCGAAUCCCUCCUCCCUUAUUACAACUUCAUGUAGUUCAUGUACAGUAAGCAUUAAAGCCAAGACAGGAUUACUAAAGUAAUACAACUGAGUAGUAAGGUAAUUCAAUUUACAUGUUCUAUGGCUUGUGUUUAUGGAGUUAACUAAUAGUAAGAUAAUUAGCAAUUUGUUUGGGGAUAAUUAGUUUCGGUAAAAUAAUUGAUUUUUUUUAUCAACUGAAAUUGGGUAUAUGAAAGCAUGGUUAACCGGGUUGUGUAUGGGAAUCAUAUCAAUUCAUAUUACAUACAUUUAAAAUCAAGAAAUAAAAGCUUAAAGGUUAGUAAGGUAUAGAUAGUAUGCAAAUUUGUUGAUUUCUCAUAUAUAUAGCUGUGUAUGGAACUGUUAUUGACUAAGAUAGAGCAAAGGAGGUAGGUUGGUUGUGCGGAGAUAUAAGGGAGUUAAAAUAGGAUGAUAGCACAAAUAAAUGGCUGUGAAAUGAGUGUUCAAAAACAGCGCACACCACUUGUUCGAUAAAAGUCCUCUAUGGACUGUUUUGGUUAAAAACUAAGAAUUAAGUAAAGUUGAGGCCAAAGUUAUAUAUAUAUAUAUAUAUAUAUACACUAUAUGUAGAUAUUUAAUAUGUAGAUAUUUAAAGGAUUUGAGCAAAUCAAAUUAGAACGAAAAGCAAUUUUAAGCCAAAACGAAAAAUUGAAAGAUAGUGUGUUGGGCCACUUUUGGGCUAACUGUUUCGGCUAGUUAGACUUGCUGGAAAAUUAUAAUUUUCUAGAUUCCUGUAGUAUGCAAUCCCAGCUAGCCAUAGUCUUUGGAACGGACUAAUUCUGAGUUCGGACAACUGAGUUAAGACUUGCCAAAGUGGGUACGCCAAAACUGCUCAAAUCUGGAAAACAGAUUCGAAGCAGUCCCCUUGCACGAAUUUUCUGGAAUUCUAUGUUUUGAAUUUGGAAAUGUCAAAGAAUGAAAGUUGUAGCCUCGGAAGUUAGCUUCGCGUGGGCUCAAGAAUCGGUCAAAAAUGUUUUGAAACGAAUUAGUUAUGACUGUUUUAGCGCAAGAAGGUAAAGCUGGGAAAAAGUUAAAAACUGUUAUGAUUGAGCAUUUUUAAGGCCUGUUUUGGAAUGUUUAUAAAACCCAAAAUGGGUGGUUUGUAUUUUCUUAAAAUAUUCUUCUAUGGUGACUAUAAUAUAUUAAAAUUUGGUAGCAAUCGGACUUGUGAGCAAAGAAUUAGAAAAUGACAAAGUAGCCGCGAAGCAUAGGAGUGUGCUGCCCAUAAGCAGCGGCAACAGCAGCAAGAAAGCUGCUACCUGCUGCCCUUUUAGAGCUUGCUUCUGACUCGCUUAGAAUGUCCAAAAUGUAUGGAUAGUAUUUUUUAAAAAUAGGUGGACAUACCACCUAUAACAUAUCCAAAAUUGGUCAGAAUCGCACAGGCGAAAUGGAAACUAAAAAUACGCGAAGUAGGGUGUCAGAACAUGUUCGCUGGCUGCUCAGACCAAGCCCUCCUGGGCCAAGCCAAGGGCAGCUGGGCCCAGUCUAACACGGCGACACGGUUUUCAAAACGAAAUGCAAUAUUUGAUGUCAUGAAAUGUAUUUCAAUGUACGGACGCGGAUUUCAAGGUUUUUGAUAGUUGAGUGUAUCCCGAAGCACCAAGAUGGAUAUGAAAUGCAGUCUAGCACCCAUAUGACGCGUAUAUUCGUUCCUAUUAUACUAGAAGCUAUGAAAAUAAUAUGUAAACAUAGGUUUACAUAUAUAAGGAUAAAUCAUCCGUAUAUUGGGAAUACGUAAAUAAUCAUCCGUAUAUUGGGAAUAUGUAAAUAAUGUGAAAGAGCUAUCAUAAAAGCUAAACCCCAGAAAUAAAUAGUUUUUGAAAUGCAAAGCAAGAAUUGCGCAUAUGGAGUUGAAAACUCAUUAUUGGUAUAUAUAAGCUAUGUAAAUACAUAAAAUAUACAAAUAACUUAUAUUUACAUACGAGCUAAGCAAGCAAGGCAUGAAUUUGCAUUACGGUUAAGGUAUAUAUGCAAAAGCAUAUAUAUACUUUACGUAUACAUUAAAAGUGAAAAGUACUGUUGUAUAAACACGUUAAGCAUUGAAAGAUAUUAUACAUGUAAAAUGGAGUCUAAGUUACUCACGAAAGCAAAGUUAAGCUACAAACACAAAGAAAGUCACGGAUGCACUAUGUAACUUUAAGUUUACAUAUAGAUGCAUAUUAAGCCUAUAAAUGCAAUGUAAAAAGUUUAUAAACUGUAAAUGUAGUGAAUUGACAUUUUAAAAGCCGUGUUGGAACUUUUUGAGAAUGUAUAACUAUAUUAAGCCGAAACCUAAAAUAUUCAAGAGGAAUAUGGAGGUUUCUUGGAAAUAAGAAUAUCAGAUAUUGAUAUAGUUUAUGUGAAUAUUUACUAACCAUACAGGUUAUGGGAUAUGAAUGUGUGACUAAUGUAUGCAUACAUGUGAGCAUAACUGUGUAGGAUUCGUGAAGUGAAGUUAAGCUAAAGUUUGUAUCAAUGGUCAUUGAAUGAGGCAAGUUUUUCAGUUCUAUUAUGUUUGUGGAUUAAAUGUGAUUAUGUGGUGAGUUACAUACCAUGCUUUAUGAAUUGUUAAAGUCAAAAUAUGACUAGUUAAUUGGGUUAUGGAACUCAAUUUAUAUGUGAUAUGUGAUAGCACAUGCUGUAUGAUGUAACUCGAUAAAUUAGAAAUGUAUAAUGCAUAAAUGUAUAUUUUGUAAGAAAUUAUUGAUGCAUGCGGAUAUGCAUAGUAAAGGAAAUAUAAUGCAUAUGGAAUUGUGUGCGAUGUGAAACAUGAUAGACUGUUAAAUUUGCUAGGCUGUCGAGCUCAAUCUUGCAAACACAAAUUUUUUGCAGGUUAAUCAUGUUUAGCAAUAUUACUUGCUAUACGGAUGAUGAAGAUUGAACGAUGUGCAAAAUGAAUACAUUUUCUUGAAUUAGAAAUUGUAUAAAUCUAUGAUUGAUAGUUUUGUUAAAUGUAAUUGGCAGUUAUGUAUAGUUUGAAAUAUUGAAUGGAUAAAGAAUUUUUAUUCUGAAAUGAGAAUAAAUAUUAUUGUAAAACAAGUGAAUUAUCGAUAGAAAAGAUAUUAAGUAUUGAGACUUAAGUUUUUAAUAUGUUUACACAGAUUAUACAAUCAUAUAAUAAAUAUGAUUCUAGUAUAAAGAAGAAUUGUAAAGGUUGCGAUUCAGGGAAUGAAAAGAAAAAAAAUAUUCCACAUUUUUAGUUAUUUUAACAUUAAAUAAUGUUUUAAAGCUAGAACAUGAUAAUAUUAACGCACAAGAUCGGGGAGAGAAAUUGUUUCGAUUUUGGGGUCGUUACAGAUAAUGUUGGUUUUUUGUUUGUUUAAUUUUUCUUGAUUGUUUCAUCAAUUUCUCUUUUCAGGUGAUUGUAGUUUUUCUUUUUCGGGCCACUUCACCCUAAUAGGAUCUUGGCUAGGAUAUUCUUAAAGAAAAGAUAAUACCGUAAUGAGGAAACAUCUAUUUCGGGUCAUUUCACCUUAACAAGGAUCUUAGCUCGGAUAUUCUCAAAUAAAAGGAAAUACCGCGAGGAGGAAGCAUCUGUUCCAGGCCAUUUCACCUUAACAAGGAUCUUGGCUCGGAUAUUCUCAAAGAGAAAGAAACACCGCAAGGAGGAGACAUCUAUUUCGGGAUAUUUCACCUUAACAAGGAUCUUGGCUCGGAUAUUCUCAAAGAAAAGAGGCAACACCGCAAGGAGGAAGUAUCUAUUCCGGGCCAUUUCACCUUAACAAGGAUCUUGGCUCGGAUAUUCUCAAAGAAAAGAGGCAAUACCGCAAGGAGGAAGCAUCUAUUCCAAGCCAUUUAAUUUUACCUUAAUAAGGAUCUUGGCUCGGAUAUUCCGCGAAGUAGCAUUUAUUCCAAUUAGUUGAUUCAAUGAGCAAUGAGAAGUUAAACGUAAG
rnacentral:lncRNA from 1 species